CGUUUGUUCGAUAUUCAGUCCGCGGUCCCUGAUUCAUCUUAUCCAAAACUCCUCCCUUUCCAGCGACGGCAGCGACGGCGGAGCACGAGCAGGUGAGGGGCGGCGCCUUCGUCGGACGGCUAGCCGCGGCGGAGGAGAAGGCGGACGCCAUGGGUGCGGCUACAGACGAGGCGGAGGAGAAGGCGGACGCCGUGGGCUUGCUGCACGGCUACAGCCGAGGCGGAGGAGAAGGCGGACGCCGUGGUCGUUCAUGGAGGAUGGUACGCCGGCCGCCAGCGCCGGCCGCCAGUCCUCUCUGGCCUCUUACGUUGUAUCCUUCUCAACCUCCGCUGCUCCUAUCGUGAUUUGGAUGGAAAAUUGGAGGCCGGCUGUGUCCUUCUCCAACACAAAUUGAUGUAGUGCCCGACCCGGAUUUGAUUGGCUGCUAUAAGAAGCAAGGGUCCUCGGCCGGAAUCUCCAUCAGGUUUUGCCCUUCGACCAUAAUCUCCAUCAUCCUAUCAAAAUUGCAAUUUUUGACCAAACAUCCAAUGUCGCCGCCAAGUUCGCCGGAGGAACAAGAAUGCCCGCCGAGUCCUGUGGUGGCUACACGAGAGGUAUGUAUCCCCUCGAAGCUACGCCACGGCGCGGUAGAGCCUGAAGUUCGUCAAAACUUGACCUGACCGUCACUGACGCCACCUUGCUGCCGCUUUUGCUGGAGAUGAGCUGAAUAGCAAGCUUUGGUUGCCUCUUUGCUUCCACUUUACUGCUCAUCGACUAUCUGUAAUUGUAAAACACCUAAUACGAUUCUUCAGCACUUGAUACUGGUGGUCAUGGUCUUCUUCUCUUAUUGUUGCGAGACUUGGUUUUAGUUAGUAAUCUUGAGAUCAAGUGUACUCAUGGAUUGCUUAGAUGGAGGACCACUGUUGGUUUUGUACUUAGAUGCGAUUGUGAAUCAUGUACGGUUCAAUUCAGAUUCAUGUGGUAUUUUUCCUAAAUUUGUGCCUGCCUGAACAUUAUUACUAUUAAACUAUGAAUAAUGAUUUUUGCAAUUGUAGGAGAAUUUCUUUGCCGCAUCACAAGAAUAACAAUUUGAAACAGAGAACUGUACAGAACCUUCUAAUUAUUGUAUGAACUUGCUUCACUUAAUUUGAACUGCAUAUUUUUCAGUACAAUUAAGUGCCUGGUGCCACUUGAGAGAAUAAAAGAAUGAUCAGCUAUUUUUUUUCACAGAUAUGAUUUAGUCAACACUGAUGUCCGUCUGCAAAAAGCUUAUUCUGAUUUGGAGUUGAUUUUUUUUUCAGGCCCUUAAGAUGAGUGAUGAACAUCCGUUGAGCCGUCCAAUGUUGCCUGUGGCAACUACACCGGAGGGAAAGAAAAUUUAGAAGAGCAUGAAGUACAUGUUUAUUUUCGUAUAUAUUUUGGGAUCAUUGCAUAGUGAGGAACAUUAAGGUUAUACUUAAAAGAUGAGACCAUAUUCUUCAAGCUGAGAAGUAAACUAUAAUUGCCAAGAAUCACAAUCAUCACAGUUAUCAGCCAUGCAAGAAAUCAAAUGCCAGGUCUAAAAGUCCAACUCAAAGAACUAAGAACAAAUAGGACUGCUUUUUUAGCCGUCGUCUCCUUUGACUUCACCGCUAUCAUCUCCGUCGACUUCGCCACAAGACAAUCUGCCACCACCUCCGCCGAUUUUGCCGGAAGACCAUCAGCCGUCACCUAGACCUACUUUGGUUCAGAAAAUAGAUGACAACACUGUAACUUAAUAUUACACAGAACAUUGAAGAGGACUUUGAUAACCGACCUUCAAAAAAAGCAAAAAUUUCUGAAUCAAGUGUUCUGGAGCCAUCACCUAUGUCACCAACUAUGUCAACAUGUACUCCAGUUUCUGAGUGUUUUGAAUCGAUUGUGCCAAAAUCAGAUAAUUAGAUAGAUCAUGGUCCAUUGCCAUCACCUCCAUCCCCAUCUAGCUCGACAUUAUCUCAAGAACAUCGGUCGAGCCGUACAAAUGGCGCCUGCAGCGGCUACACCAGAGGUAUUUAUCCCCUUUAUGAAAGCUAAUCACUGCAUGUAAUCCCCUGUUUUAGUUGUUGUUUCUGGCCUGGUUAUACAGGCAGUUUUCAACAGCAGCAGACUAGCAUGCCCAGUCUGAACUUUUAGAAUGUUUUCCCAGUUCAUGUUCAACUUUGAUCCUUUUUUCAGUUAAAGUUCAAAGGAACUUUCCUGUGUGAAUCUGAGAAUCUCACUGAAACUUGUUUCAUUGUGUA